AGAUGCGAUCAUACCAGCACUAAUGCACCAGAUCCCAUCAGAACUUCGCAGUUAAGCGUGCUUCGGCGAGAGUAGUACUAGGAUGGGUGACCUCCCGGAAAGUCCUCGUGUUUAAUCAC
rnacentral:rRNA from 1 species